rnacentral:rRNA from 1 species
AGUGAACGCUGGCGGUAGGCCUAACACAUGCAAGUCGAACGGCAGCACAGUAAGAGCUUGCUCUUACGGGUGGCGAGUGGCGGACGGGUGAGGAAUACAUCGGAAUCUACUUUUUCGUGGGGGAUAACGUAGGGAAACUUAGGUUAAUACCGCAUACGACCUACGGGUGAAGGCAGGGAAUCUUCGGACCUGGGGCGAUGGAAUGAGCCGAUGUCGGAUUAGCUAGUUGGCGGGGUAAAGGCCCACCAAGGCGACGAUCCGUAGCUGGUCUGAGAGGAUGAUCAGCCACACUGGAACUGAGACACGGUCCAGACUCCUACGGGAGGCAGCAGUGGGGAAUAUUGGACAAUGGGCGCAAGCCUGAUCCAGCCAUACCGCGUGGGUGAAGAAGGCCUUCGGGUUGUAAAGCCCUUUUGUUGGGAAAGAAAAGCAGCAGGUUAAUACCCCGCUGUUCUGACGGUACCCAAAGAAUAAGCACCGGCUAACUUCGUG